UACAGAGGUCUCAAGCGUUGUUCGGAUUCAUUGGGCGUAAAGGGUGCGUAGGCGGCGCGGUAAGUCGGGUGUGAAAUUUCGGAGCUUAGCUCCGAAACUGCAUUCGAUACUGCGGUGCUUGAGGACUGGAGAGGAGACUGGAAUUCAUGGUGUAGCAGUGAAAUGCGUAGAGAUCAUGAGGAAGACCAGUGGCGAAGGCGGGUCCCUGGACAGUUCCUGACACUGAGACACGAAGGCCAGGGGAGCAAACGGG
rnacentral:rRNA from 1 species